rnacentral:rRNA from 1 species
UACGUAGGUGGCAAGCGUUGUCCGGAUUUACUGGGCGUAAAGAGCGCGCAGGCGGCUGAUUAAGUCGAAUGUGAAAGCCCCCCGGCUCAACUGGGGAGGGUCAUUCGAUACUGAUCAACUUGAAGGCAGGAGAGAGAAGUGGAAUUCCCGGUGUAGUGGUGAAAUGCGCAGAUAUCAGGAAGAACACCCGUGGCUAAGGCGGCUCUCUAGUACGGUACUGACGCUGAGACGCGAAAGCGUGGGGAGCGAACAGG